rnacentral:antisense_RNA from 1 species
AAAGAUCGCAGCCUUCGGCAGCUCCUACAGGAGAAUACGUUGCUAUGUAGGAGCUGCCGAAGGCUGCGAUCUUU